UACGGGGGGAGCAAGCGUUGUUCGGAUUUACUGGGCGUAAAGCGCGCGUAGGCGGCUUUGCAAGCCGGAUGUGAAAUCCCCGGGCUUAACCUGGGAACUGCAUUCGGGACUGCAUUGCUAGAGUAUGGGAGAGGGAAGUGGAAUUUCAGGUGUAGCGGUGAAAUGCGUAGAUAUCGAGAGGAACACCUGCGGCGAAGGCGGGUUGCUGGGCUGAUACUGACACUGAAGAACGAAAGCCAGGGGAGCAAACGGG
rnacentral:rRNA from 1 species